CGUAGGUGGCGAGCGUUGUCCGGAAUUAUUGGGCGUAAAGCGCGCGCAGGUGGGAUAUUAAGUCUGUCUUAAAAGUUCGGGGCUCAACCCCGUGAUGGGAUGGAAACUGGUAUUCUUGAGUGCAGGAGAGGAAAGCGGAAUUCCCAGUGUAGCGGUGAAAUGCGUAGAUAUUGGGAGGAACACCAGUGGCGAAGGCGGCUUUCUGGACUGUGUCUGACACUGAGGCGCGAAAGCCAGGGUAGUGAACGGGAUUAGAUACCCCGGUAAUCCUGGCCGUAAACGAUGGGUACUAGGUGUAGAGGGUAUCGACCCCUUCUGUGCCGGAGUUAACGCAAUAAGUACCCCGCCUGGGGAGUACGGCCGCAAGGUUG
rnacentral:rRNA from 1 species